AGCAAUCUGCCCCUGACUCUGGGAUAAGCGCUGGAAACGGCGUCUAAUACCGGAUACGAGCUGCGACCGCAUGGUCAGUAGCUGGAAAGAAUUUCGGUCAGGGAUGAGCUCGCGGCCUAUCAGCUUGUUGGUGAGGUAAUGGCUCACCAAGGCGUCGACGGGUAGCCGGCCUGAGAGGGUGACCGGCCACACUGGGACUGAGACACGGCCCAGACUCCUACGGGAGGCAGCAGUGGGGAAUAUUGCACAAUGGGCGAAAGCCUGAUGCAGCAACGCCGCGUGAGGGAUGACGGCCUUCGGGUUGUAAACCUCUUUUAGCAGGGAAGAAGCGAAAGUGACGGUACCUGCAGAAAAAGCGCCGGCUAACUACGUGCCAGCAGCCGCGGUAAUACGUAGGGCGCAAGCGUUAUCCGGAAUUAUUGGGCGUAAAGAGCUC
rnacentral:rRNA from 1 species